rnacentral:rRNA from 1 species
AGAGUUUGAUCCUGGCUCAGAUUGAACGCUGGCGGCGUGCCUAACACAUGCAAGUCGUGCGAGAAAGUGGGCUUCGGCCCGCGAGUACAGCGGCGCACGGGUGAGUAACACGUGGGUGAUCUCCCUAACAGAUUGGGAUAACAGCGGGAAACUGCUGCUAAUACCGGAUACGAUCCACUUAAUCGUGGAUGAAAGGCGGCCUCUGCUUGCAAGCUGCCACUGUUAGAUGAGCCCGCGUCCCAUUAGCUUGUUGGCGGGGUAACGGCCCACCAAGGCGACGAUGGGUAGCUGGUCUGAGAGGAUGACCAGCCACACUGGGACUGAAACACGGCCCAGACUCCUACGGGAGGCAGCAGUGGGGAAUAUUGCGCAAUGGGCGAAAGCCUGACGCAGCGACGCCGUGUGAGGGAAGAAGGCCUUCGGGUCGUAAACCUCUGUCAGAAGGGAAGAACCCCCAAGGUUCGAAUAGGGCUUUGGGCUGACGGUACCUUCAGAGGAAGCACCGGCUAAUUCCGUGCCAGCAGCCGCGGUAAUACGGAAGGUGCAAGCGUUAAUCGGAAUUACUGGGCGUAAAGCGCACGUAGGCUGCUUUGUAAGUCGGAUGUGAAAGCCCUCGGCCCAACCGGGGAACUGCAUUCGAAACUGCAAGGCUGGAGUCCUGGAGAGGGUGGCGGAAUUCCCGGUGUAGGAGUGAAAUCCGUAGAUAUCGGGAGGAACACCAGUGGCGAAGGCGGCCACCUGGACAGGUACUGACGCUGAGGUGCGAAAGUGUGGGGAGCAAACAGGAUUAGAUACCCUGGUAGUCCACACCGUAAACGAUGGAUGCUAGGUGUCGGGGAGUAUUCUUCGGCGCCGUAGCUAACGCGUUAAGCAUCCCGCCCUGGGGAGUACGGUCGAAAGGCUGAAACUCAAAGGAUAUGACGGGGGCCCGCCCAAGCCGUGGAAUAGUGGUUUAAAUCCGUGCACCGCGAGAACCCUUCCUUGGGUGGAAAUCCUCCGAACCUUCCAGAAAUGGAAGGGUGCCUCUCGGGAACCAAAAAACAGGGGCGGCAGGCUGCCUCACCUCCUGGCGGAAGGUGUUGGGUUAGUCCCCCAAGAGCCAACCCUUUUUCCAUUGCAACCCUAAUGGUGGCACUCGGCGAAAUGCCCGGCCACCGGGAGAAGGGGGAAAACUAAAUCUCUGGCCUUAUGCCGGGUUCCCGUUCAAUUGGGAAAAAAGGGAUUACCCGGGGUCGCACCCAAAAUCUCCCCCGGGGCCUCCCCCCCGGAGGGGGACCUAAUCCCAACCGGGGGAAAACCCCCGUCCACCGCCC